GACGAACGCUGGCGGCGUGCUUAACACAUGCAAGUCGUACGGUAAGGCCCUUUCGGGGGUACACUAGUGGCGAACGGGUGCGUAACACGUGAGUAACCUGCCCACAACUUUGGGAUAACGCUAGGAAACUGGGGCUAAUACUGGAUAUGUGCUCCUGCUGCUUGGUGGGGGUUGGAAAGCUCCGGCGGUUUUGGAUGGACGCGCGGCCUAUUAGCUUGUUGGUGGGGUAGUGGCCUACCAAGGCGGCGACGGGUAGCCGGCCUGAGAGGGUGACCGGCCACAUUGGGACUGAGAUACGGCCCAGACUCCUACGGGAGGCAGCAGUGGGGAAUAUUGCACAAUGGGCGCAAGCCUGAUGCAGCAACGCCGCGUGCGGGAUGACGGCCUUCGGGUUGUAAACCGCUUUCAGCAGGGACGAAGCUUUUUGUGACGGUACCUGCAGAAGAAGCACCGGCUAACUACGUG
rnacentral:rRNA from 1 species